rnacentral:rRNA from 1 species
GACGAACGCUGGCGGCGCGCCUAACACAUGCAAGUCGAACGAGAGAGAGGGAGCUUGCUUCCUCAAUCGAGUGGCGAACGGGUGAGUAACGCGUGAGGAACCUGCCUCAAAGAGGGGGACAACAGUUGGAAACGACUGCUAAUACCGCAUAAGCCCACAGGUCGGCAUCGACCAGAGGGAAAAGGAGCAAUCCGCUUUGAGAUGGCCUCGCGUCCGAUUAGCUAGUUGGUGAGGUAAUGGCCCACCAAGGCAACGAUCGGUAGCCGGACUGAGAGGUUGAACGGCCACAUUGGGACUGAGACACGGCCCAGACUCCUACGGGAGGCAGCAGUGGGGAAUAUUGCACAAUGGGGGAAACCCUGAUGCAGCGACGCCGCGUGGAGGAAGAAGGUCUUCGGAUUGUAAACUCCUGUUGUUGAGGAAGAUAAUGACGGUACUCAACAAGGA